rnacentral:tRNA from 2 species
GAAUUAUACAGGUGUAGGAUAAAGCUUCUAACUUUUAACCUAAGAGGUUCGAUUCCUUUUAUAAUUCU